GUCAGACAGUGCCAACUCCGUACGUUUUGCCACUAUCUCCCAAUUUUCUCCUCUCUUACCCAAAAUAUAUAUUAUAGAUAGUGCCCAGCUGGCAUUUAUCAAAUUCCUUUGUGUGUGGAUCUUUUCUAAUAACGUCAUCAUGAACGUCAGCUUCUAGAACCUCACAGAGCAGAGAUGAGACGUUAACAGACUUGAUUAACAACCAAAGCCCCAACACACAGAAGUAAAAUCCUGAGUGAUCCCGGUCACCGGCUCCAGAAAUCUCCCCCUUUUUAACAAGGUCUUAUCUCUGAACAAGAUUAAACAAGAUGAGAAGACUGAGUCCUAGAAACAUGCUGAGAUGUUCGGGAACCCUCCAGACACAUGACUUCAAGGGCCAGCCCAGCUCCUUCUGCUUACAUGGAGCGAACAGGAGGCCACUAAUCUUUUACCAUCUUGGGUGCCCAUUUCACAGAAUCUUCUGUGAUUCUAGAAGCCCUGGAAAAUCUGGCCAAUAACUCAGUUCUGAAAAGUAAAGUUUGGCACAGACAUUCUGGUUCUGGAGGAAGCCUGCCCACUUACUAAAUUUCCCCAAAUAGCUCUCUUUUGUGAAUUUGCCUUUCAGGGGAUAGUUUUUGGUUUUCCCUAUAAGGGUGAAACUUUCUAGAAUAUAGUUACUAAGUCAGGGAAAAUGAGAAUGUGGUCAGCCUCUUUCCUUUCCUUGGAGUUGAAGAGCAUGUUCUUAAUAAACUGUCCACUCAAGGGUUUUAUCGUGGCUAGGGCCUGUGAGAUUGCAUCAGACACCAAAGCUGCAGCUCUCAGUCUGGUUAGGUGACCGGAUGAAUGAUUCCAUUCCCUGCUCUGAUGUGGAGUGUCUUUCUCUCGCCAGCUGCAGUUUACAUACAGGAUGCAUUUCCUGUCUGAAGCCCCUGUCUGCCUCUCCUAUCGCCAUAUGCUUCUGUGUUUUAAGUACAGAUGGAGACAUUAGUCAUGCAAUACAUCACAUGGGAAAAUGUACAGGCUGGCUAUUUUAUUUCAAUUUCAGUAUGAAUUUCUACCUUUGCUACUUACUGGUAAGAAUAUAUGGAAAAAGUCAAAGGAGAUUCUAGGAGACUACCUGCUCCUAUUUCAUUUUUACUGAAUUCCUGCUUUUAAUGUUAAAAUGAAAACAUCCAGAAGUUGUGUCAUGAUGACACAUCCAAAAAUUAUUAAAAAAAAAAAUAAUGGUAUGGUAGAUUUAUUGCAAAUGAUGCAAUCCUUGACCCCUUCCCACAUCCUUGCUCUUUGCCACAUGGCUUUGCAGUGCCUUUCUCUAAAGAGGCAGAGUCUAUUUUGCACCCUGUUAUGGAUUGAAUUGUGUCCACCAAAAAUAGUUGUUAUAAAUUCUAAAUCCCUAUACUUGUGGAUGUAAUGCCAUUUGGGGAUAGGACUUUCUUUGUUAUGUUAAUGAGACCAUAUCAGUGUUGGGUGUGUCUUAAACCAAUCACCUUUUAGAUCUAAAAAGAGCAGAUUAGGCACAAAGAAGGAAGCACAAACAGAGGGGAAAAUACAUGCCACAUGAAGAUGGCCAAAGAACCAGGAAACAGAAGCUGAAGAGACAAGGACCUUCCCCUAGAGCUGACUGAGAGAGAAAGUCUUCCCCUAGAGUCCAUGACCUGAAUACAGACUUCUAGCCUCCUAAACUGUGAGCAAAUAUAUCUCUAUUUGUUAAGGCCACCCACUUGUGGUAUUAUAGCAGCACUAAGAAACUAAGACAUACCCUUGAAUCUGGGCUGGCCUUGUGACUUGCUUUGGCCAAAAGAAUGUGGCAGCAGAGUGACUAUGCAUCAGUUCCAAGCCUAGGCCUCAAGAGGUCUUGCAGCUUCCACCCUCAUUUGGAACUUUGCAUCUACCAUUUGAACAUGCCGAGCUAACCUGCUGGAAGAGGAGAGACCACAUGGAUUAGAGCUGAGUCAAACCAGCUAUCUCAGCCAAAGAUAUCUUAGACCACCCAAUGAUCAGCCAACAGCCAGACAAUCAACCCCCAAACAUAUGAGAGAGCCUAGCCAAGAUCAGCAGAGCCACUGACUUCACCUACAUCUGACCACACAUGCAAAAGUAAGCACAGCCAAAAUAAAGAACCACUCAGUCAUCCUACAGACUCAUGAGCAAGAAUAAAUAGUUGGUUUUUAAGCCAUUGAGUUUAGGAGUGAUUUUUUACAUAGUAUUAUUGUGGCAACAGAUAACUGAUGCACAUAGGCCAGUCUUUUUGUGUUGUGGGGCAUGCUUAGCCACUAGGAACCAGGCUAUGAGAGUUUAUCCAGAGAGGUAGCUUUCCAUGUCCUGUCUGUGGGUAUAAGCCUGGAUAACAGCUUGAGAUUCAAAUAAGAGGAAAGGCCUUGGGUACUACCCAUCAGUGUGCAGACUUCUAGAGAAUUGGCCCGUUUCCAGCACAGUACCACUACCCUUGGCUGGGGUUAGCAUCCUUCUUCCAGAGUCCAAUCUCACUGAUUGAAUGUUUCCAGAAAACCUUCUUCCAGGGGUCUACCUGCUUAUAAAGAUGUCUGGCAAAUACACUUACUUUCAGCUGCACCUGCCUACAACUUCCCCAGGUGCCUGGGGAUGCCAAUUUCUGAGCAUUUGGGAGGCUUUUGUUCUGGCUUGAGUUGGUUCUUGGUUUUCCCUCCAGCCAACUUGGGGCUCUCCAAUCACUCUCACUUGUUGUUGUUGUUAGCUGCUGUCAUGGAUUGAAUUGUGUCCCCCUAAAAUAUCUGUCAACAUGGCUCAUACUUCCCAGUUUUGUAUUAUCGUCUACCAUUUUAUCAUCUGAUGUGAUUUCCCUAUGUGCUGUAAAUCCUAUCACUAUGAUGUAAUGAGAUGGAUUAGUGGCAGUUAUAUUGAUGAGAUCUAUGAGAUUCGAUAGUGUCUUAAGCCAAUCUCUCUUGAGAUAUAAAAGAGAGAAGCAAGCAGAGAGACAGGGGGACCUUACACCACCAAGAAAGCAGUGCCAGGAGCAGAGCGUGUCCUUUGGACCUGAGGUUCCUGUGCGGAGAAGCUCUUAGACCAAGGGAAGAUUGAUGACUCAGACCUUCCUCCGGAGCCAACAGAGAAAGCCUUCCCCUGUAGCUGAUGCCCUGAAUUUGGACUUGUAGUCUAUGAGACUGUGACAGAAUAAACUUCUCUUUGUUAAAGCCAUCCACUUGUGAUAUUUCUGUUAUAGCAGCACUAGAUGACUAAGACAGCUGCCAGUGAGUGGCCCCCUAACUCAUAGCAACCCCAUGCACAAUGGGAUCAGACCAUUGUGAUCCAUAGGGUUUUAAUUGGCUGAUUUUCAGAAGUAGAUUACCAGGCAUUUCUUCUUAGUCUAUCUUAGUCUGAAGCUCUGAAACCUGUUCAGCAUCAUAGCUACACACAGGACUCCACUGACAGAUGGGUGGUGGCUGUGCAUGAGGUGCACUGGUCAGGAAUUGAGCCCUGGUCUCCCACAUGGAAGAGGAGAAUUCUACCACUGAACCACCACUGCCCUCCAUUGCCAAUAAGAUAGGCAAAAGCCUUAAGGAAGAGCAAACUAUCAGUCUUCCUUCAAGGAAAGGACUGGGCAUCUGCCUGAGGCUGAGGAGGGGAGAAAUUGGGGCUGGCAGUUGUUCUCAAGGUUAGGAUGAAGGAUAACCCACAGGGCAAAAGAUUGAUUAAAGAAAGCAAUGUAAGGGGAAAUAGCCAUGGAGUCUUUAAAUGUAGCUUCAGCAGCAUUUUCAAUGACAAGCAGAAAAAAUGCUAAAUUGAAGCUGAUGAACAAAGACCUCUUUGAUGAAAUGAAUCUCUCAACCAUUUGCAUCUCAGAUCUUCACAGUUCUGUCACAAUGCCAUAAAGCUCAUUUAUGCCCUAAAACUAUUCUUGUGUAUUUGGGGGCAUGAGUUUUCCCAAAAGUUGAGUUUUCUUAUCACUGAUCAUGGUUACACUUCAUGUGGGAACUAGGACAUACUUAGUAUUUUUGUUAUCAUUCUUGUUUGUGCUCUUCUACAUUUUCUUCAAAACUGUUUCCUGGGUGCCAUACCAAAAACAAUCAAACAAUCAAAAAAGAGAAAAAAGAGGCAGGACCAAGAGGGCAAAUGAGUCAAUAGCUUCUGCCAAUCCUUCUUACAACAAAGACCCAAAAAAAACAAGUGAAUCAAUUAUAUAUAUGACAAGCUAGAAUCCCUGAGCAUCAAAGGCAAAAUUAAGGAAUGGGUCUGAGCAACAGGGGAGGGAGAGACGGUGCAGAAGCAGCAAGGAGUUGCUGAGCCCGCACAGUGCCUCAGCUCCUAUUCCUUGGCACUGUUCUUUGGUACAACUGCGGCAGGUCUGAUGGUAGUUCCCAGAGACACAGCAGCUUCAGUGAAAGAAGGCAAGUGGAGUGGCGCACCCCUGACCCCGUAGUGGGUCUACAACAGGGCUGGCUGCGGUGUUUAGGAAGCGGCUGCUUCAGCAAAAGAAGGCAACCAAAGUGCCGGCACACUGACCCCCUGGCAUGCCGGCCAUGGGACUGGCUGUGGAGUUUAGGACACAGCUGCUUCAGUGAAAGAAGGCAAGCGCGGGACGCAGCCCUAACCCCCUGGGGCAAUCUCAGCUGGGACCCAGCUACAUAUGCCUCUGGAAUCUGAGAUAAAACAGCACUCUGGACGCAAGAUAAGUGAUUUUGUCUAAUUUACCACAGCAGGUGGAUCUAAUAGUUCCUUCUUUUGAAAGAGCUCUCUCCUAUCUGUCUGAUCCCUCCCUUCUCUGUCCCAGCCAGCUUCAUUAACAGUUGAUUUCCCUGGGCCUGAGACAGAACCUCCUGGCCUGGGAGAAGGAACAAAUUAACAAAAGGGGGGAAAAAUACUCUGCAGACUACCCUAACCUGGAAGCUCAGAGCAGAAGCACCUCCAGUCCAGGCAUAAGCGAUCCACAGACUUUGUCUCUUACCCCUACAUGGAUCCAGGUGGCUAUUAUAUCGCAAGGGCAAAUCUGUUUGAGAUCUGACUCUAACUGUUACAGCUGUGCAGUGGACCGACAGGUUUUGGAGGUCUGAUACUGCUCUGCCUAGUAAACAGGGCCUUCACCUACCCAGAGGAGUCUGAGGACUGGAUGUGCCAUCCACACCACCUAGCCACCCGCAAAAGGAUAAUGGUGCCUACCAGUCCUUACAGGUAUAAGCAUUGGGUGCCUAAGGUACAGCUCCAGAGCCUAUCCACCAGAGCACUCUAAAGAACAGAGAUGCUCACUCCUCACUGACACUUCAGGGAAGGCUGUCAGCCCCCUGCCUUCCUCAGAGUGUGACCCCCUGCUGCUACCAGAAACCAGUGCAUACACCCAUCACCACUGCUCCCCUAAGAUAGUAGGUGAGAGCCUACACCACACACUGGGUGACUGAUUAUCAGGACACCUGAGCUGAAUCUAUACAAGAAUACUGAAUGGCUCAUAUACCUGGUAACAGCUCUAGCCAUCUGGUAACAGGACAUUAGUGCUUCAAAGGCUCCAAUAAACAAGUUAGCUCACUCUAGUAGCCUAUUUGGCUAUAUCAAAACAAAACAAAGGCAAGAGACUAGGACACAGUGAGCAAACAUAAAAUAAUACAAUAACUUAUAGAUGGCUCAGAGACAACAGUCAAUAUCAAAUCACAUAAAGAAGCAGACCACGAUUGCUUCAACAAACUCCCAAAACAGAGAAUCAAGAACUAUUCCGGAUGAAGAUGUAUUCCUGGAAUUACCAGAUGUAGAAUACAAAAGAUUAAUAUAUAGAACUUUUCAAGACAUCAGGAACAACAUCAGGAACUGUUACCAACUGCCUAUCUGACACAAAGGGUGCUUGUCUUUUCUCGAGUAAGAAUACAUGCAAAAGACAAACUUUAUCUUCAGAAAGCUUUAUUUUGCUUGAAUCAGGCAAAAGGAGUCAGCAGGGAUCGAAGCCUCUUCAAGAGACUGACUCAAAAAGGGAAGCAGGGCUAGGGCUUAUAUGGGUUCGGUGAAGACAACAGAGUAAUGAAUAUUUAGUGGGCUUCUUUCAAGGGGCGGGUACUUCUCAGAAUGGCGGUGCAUGUUAAUUAGGUUGUGCCUGCAUCUAGAAUCCAAUAUGGAAUCUGCUGAUACUCAAGAUGUAGUCCUCUUGGCAGACCUUGACAUCACUUAUUAUGGGAUAUAGCACAAGCACACUAUCUUUGGCACUACAUCACCAUCUUCAGAGGGCUCAGGAAGGUUAAACAGCAGUCACACUUUGUUCUUCUGUGCAUGUGGGAGCCUGUAAAGGGGGAAGGGACUAGAAAAACACUAAAAAGGAGGUAGUAACUCACAGGUUGUUUCAGCCUUAUCUCAUGUUGACAGGGUGUGGUUCUUGUUUACCCAACUUCUAGAUGGUAAUCUUUUAACAGCUCUUUUGUUC